GUCAAUCUGCCUUCCGGAAGGGUGGUCCCUUUGGCGAGGCCAUUUAUUGGCCCAGCUGGCUUAAUUAAUAGAAUAUAAGGCAUGUCUACACCCACAGGCAGAUGACAUUCUUUUGCUGUCACACUUUUGAGAAAUCAACACAGAUCUUCUCAUGUGAGAGGAAGUGAUCUUGCUCAGGAGCAAUAACCAGCCCAGAUCCUCAGCUGUGAGAGAAGCCACACUUGACAGAAGCCAUGGCUCCUGACAACACAGGGGGGAGGCUGGGGCUUCUUCAAGGAACCGAUCCUCCUGUGGCAGCACCUCCCCACCGCUAGUGAUCCUGGCUCACCUGAUGGGCGCUGCCUCGUCGCCUCGGUCCAGCCAGUCCUGCGGAGGAAUGAUGUACAUGCACCACAGGCCCCAGUUGUAGCCGUGGGCAGCGCUGGCAUACUGCUGUACCUCGAAUGUGCUGUACUUGAUGUUGUCAAUGGCUGGCAGGAUGAUGCGCCGGCGGUCCUCCUGGAUCCGCGCAAGGGCGGGCUCGGCCCUGGGAAAGGCACUGGUCGUGAGCGAGAGUCUCCCCAGAACCCCCAGCAACCCACAGAAGGAGCUCUGCUGGCCAUGAUCCUUCAGCUGGGCCUGGUAUCUAGCUUGGUUUGCCCCCCAUCUGAUGAGCACGGCACCCAGCCAUGGCAGAUUGGGAAUGGCUAAUCCACAACGCUGCCCUGACCAAAGCCUGAGCCUUCUUGACUGGUCAGUGCUCUGCACAGGGACAUGUGAAGUUUCUUCCUGGGUCACCUAGGGCCCUGGCGAUGCACAGGGAGACUUCUUAGCCUACUCCUACUCUCCCGUCUAUUCCUGUCCCUGUGAUAGGUACAUCCAUUUGCAAGCGCUAACCAAAGACCUAUUGUGGGCCACACUAAUUGUAACAGAUUGCAUUCAUAAGAUUAAAAAGAAAAAACUA